rnacentral:rRNA from 1 species
GACGAACGCUGGCGGCGUGCCUAACACAUGCAAGUCGAGCGACGAAGCUCCUUCGGGAGUGGAUUAGCGGCGGACGGGUGAGUAACACGUGGGUAACCUGCCUCAUAGAGAGGGAUAGCCUUCCGAAAGGAAGAUUAAUACCUCAUAAGAUUGUAGUUUCGCAUGAAACGGCAAUAAAAGGAGUCAUCCGCUAUGAGAUGGACCCGCGUCGCAUUAGCUAGUUGGUAAGGUAAUGGCUUACCAAGGCGACGAUGCGUAGCCGACCUGAGAGGGUGAUCGGCCACAUUGGGACGGAGACACGGCCCAGACUCCUACGGGAGGCAGCAGUGGGGAAUAUUGCACAAUGGGGGAAACCCUGAUGCAGCAACGCCGCGUGAGUGAUGACGGUCUUCGGAUUGUAAAACUCUGUCUUUGGGGACGAUAAUGACGGUACCCAAGGAGGAAGCCACGGCUAACUACGUGCCAGCCGCCGCCGUAAUAC